GCACUGCUGAGGAGUCCCACAAUAGGACGAAACAGUCGUCUAAUGC
rnacentral:hammerhead_ribozyme from 1 species